rnacentral:misc_RNA from 1 species
CAUCUCCCAUUUUGUCAUGGUCUGUUAGUGUGUCUUUGUCAUACACUGAUAUACCGAUUGGAGUCCUGAGAUCUGCAAUUGAAAGAGUCAACUCAUCGUUCCAUUCAGGGUUGCAAUUAUUUUUCACCACCCGGGUCUUCAACCUCUGCUCACCCAUUGUGACGACGACAUAAGGAUCGCUGCUACGAGAAUCACGAAUAGCGAGAUUAACACCGCGCAGCACCCGAAUUCGGAGAAGACCCAAAAAGUGUUCCAUCGUGGAGGAAAAUAGACAGAAAUGAAGAAGAAGAUUGAAG